rnacentral:rRNA from 1 species
GACGAACGCUGGCGGCGUGCUUAACACAUGCAAGUAGAACGGAAAGGCCCUGCUUUUGUGGGGUGCUCGAGUGGCGAACGGGUGAGUAACACGUGAGUAACCUGCCCUUGACUUUGGGAUAACUUCAGGAAACUGGGGCUAAUACCGGAUAGGAGCUCCUGCUGCAUGGUGGGGGUUGGAAAGUUUCGGCGGCUGGGGAUGGACUCGCGGCUUAUCAGCUUGUUGGUGGGGUAGUGGCUUACCAAGGCUUUGACGGGUAGCCGGCCUGAGAGGGUGACCGGCCACAUUGGGACUGAGAUACGGCCCAGACUCCUACGGGAGGCAGCAGUGGGGAAUAUUGCACGAUGGGCGGAAGCCUGAUGCAGCAACGCCGCGUGCGGGAUGACGGCCGUCGGGUUGUAAACCGCUUGCGCCUGUGACGAAGCGUGAGUGACGGUAAUGGGUAAAGAAGCACCGGCUAACUACGUG